UGGCCCCUAGGCGGGAAAGCUCAGGAGCCGGAGCGCCGAGGGAAGCGGCGUCUCUUGAGGGCCAGCCAAGUGGGGCGAGCGCCAGGCUGCGAGGAAAGUUGCAAGCCCGGCCUGGGCGAGGGAACGCAGGGCGCCCAGCAGGAAAGGGGAUUUCCUGUCUCUUACUGCGAUAGAGGCCGGAAGCAGAGGCUCCUGUCUUUCAACAACAGGGCUCAUUUGGUUGCUGGAAACAGAAACCCACUCUGGUGACUUCAAAGAAGAGAGGCUUUAUUAUACCGCAGCUCCUCAUGGAAUUCAGAGGAAGAGAGACAGCCGAGCCCCAAGGGGAGUUAGACUUGGACACUGGAAAGUCUUCGGGAGCCAUGCAGCUUUUCUUCUCUCGCCCACACUUUCGGAUUUCCCGGGCCUGUCCAGCCCCGCCCCGUGUGAGUGCCUCAUGUGCAUGGCUUGGCCCUCAGUCACCGCCAUAGUCUCUCAUUCGAUAGGACGUGCAGCUCCAGGGACCGCCACUACCUGAUUCUCAGCCUGUGUCUCAGUUCACAUUGUCAAGAGAAAAAUCAUCAAACUGGUGUGGUUCAUGAGUCAGAGAGGUAAAAGAAGAUGGACGACUAAGGAGAAUUUUUCAGUUGCUUUUCCAGGAAAAACAACAGCUCUGUUGGUCAGUAUUAUUCCUGGUUUUCAGAUAAGGAACCUGAGAUCUAGAGAGGUUAAGUACCUCACCGAAGGUCCCACAGCUAGUAAGUGGCGGAGUCUGGUUUCUAAUUCAGGGAUGUCUGAUUCCAA